GGGAGAGGUUAACAAAGACUUCUUGUAUAUUGAAAGCCUUUUUCUGGCAUUAGAAGCAGGGCUUUGGUAUUAGAUAUUGCCUUACCAAUUCUCUAAUUACUGCCCAGACUUUUUUGGGAUGUUUAAAAGACAGCCAGAUCUGAAGACAGCAAGAAAUAGUGAGCAAAGUGCAGUAGAGGACUGAGAAGAGUGUUUCUUUCCAUAAAUUAACUUUGGAUCCCAGAUAUGAAGCCUGGACAGAGAAAAGAUAAUUUUCGUGCAUCUCCUGGUGUUUCAUAUCAUUUAUUGAAGCUCAUCUGAUACAGCCGAAGCUUGUUCCAAUAUUGAUCUUUGACAUCUGAAGAGAAUUCCCCAAAGAGUCCUUCUGGAUGGGAAAUGCAGCUUGAGCAGAACCAGAUUCCAUCUGGAGAGGGGACAUUGAGGUACCAGGACACCGAUUAUUUGGAAGCAAACUCACAUGUUCUAUGUCAGAACCAUCAUCCUUGCAAAUGGCUCAGGAAACAGCCAGUGAGAUGGGCAGCCUUUUCUGCAUUUGCAAGUAAAACCUGGAGCUCCUCUGUAUGAAUCAGAGCAGUCAGAGAGAAACCAUCAACUAAAUCUGAGAAUGAACUGAGGAUCAGAGAGGCUCCCCUCAUGACUUCUGUUCAGCAGCUCUGUAUAUUGUUUUAAACGACCCUUAUGCAAGAAGUAUGUUGCCUUCUGAAAGAGGAGAUUGUUUUACUUACUUGUUGUGGGAAGGUCUUCAAAUUACAGCCCUUCCUGCUUAUAUUAUGGCAUUCUAGGGUUCAUCCUGCUCCAGUUUCCCUGUGCUGUAUGUGAUGCAGGAUCCAUGGCAGAUAAAUCUACAGCCAAAGCCUGUUGUUACAAGAGAAGCCUCUUGCCAGAGAGCCUGAGUUAUUUCAGAGAUUUUCAUUACAGAUUAAUGCAGUUAAUACUCUUGUGUGCUCUGGAAAGUGUGUGGGAGACAGGUCAGAGUGUCCUGGAGCACAAAGUCACCGUGUGGCUCCAAAGCAGGGACAACAUUGAAUGGAGACUGCGGUGACAGGGGACAGCUCCAAACCAGUGCUGGACAAAACACUCUUACCCACAUUCUGCCUGGAAGUUCUGGCUAAUUCCACUAUCACAAAGUGAGCCACUUUCCAGGGAGAUUAAGGGGAAAUAGGUAAAUUCAAUCGAGGAAGUGGGCUGGUCCCUUUGGAAACUAUGACAGUAAUCUUGACCAGGAUGAAACAUUUCUGUCUUGAAAUUCCCAUUCAUGGGUCUUCCAGUCCUGACUGCACAUGUCCUUGUUCCCAUCAGUGGCCAGGUUGCUUGGGUGGAUUCCCAACCAUUCCUGUCACUGGUGUAUCACACUUUUCACUGCUUGGAGAGAUCACAAUGUGUCAGAGGAAAUGUAGUUCACUCCUCACUCAUUGCGAAAACAGGGAUGUGAUGCAGAGCUGCAUCUCCCAUGAGGCAAGAGCGGCACUUGGGCUUUGAAACAUUUUAGUUUUGCCUCAAAAAAAUGCUGUUUUGAGAAGAAGAAGUUUCUGACUCACUUUCUAACAUAAAGGUUCUUGAUCUCAGCAAGGUGGGGGAGUUCAUACAAGCAUAAUUUCACAGAGCUCUGAUUGUCCAAGAAGUAACAGAUAGAAAUUAUUCAUAGCCAAGAGCAGUCUUGAGAAAGCAUUGCAAGGAAUAUGAGGUUGGAGCUUUUCAAAUCCCCUGGAAUCACCUCCUUUCCUGAAGAGCACAGGGAGAGCCUGGUGAUCCUAGGUUGAGGGGCAGAGGAGGUGGGUGCUUCAUAUCCUGAGUCUGGUUUGAGGUUGACUGGCAGCAUCUUUCAGAGGAUAAAGGCUUUUGCGUGCCUGCUUUGACUGCUUUGAUGCACAAACACAAAAUA